AUUGAACGCUGGCGGCAGGCCUAACACAUGCAAGUCGAGCGGUAACAUUUCUAGCUUGCUAGAAGAUGACGAGCGGCGGACGUGUGAGUAACGCGUAGGAAUCUGCCCAGUAGUGGGGGACAACAGUUGGAAACGACUGCUAAUACCGCAUACGCCCUACGGGGGAAAGGGGGCUUCGGCUCUCGCUAUUGGAUGAGCCUGCGUGAGAUUAGCUGGUUGGUGAGGUAAUGGCUCACCAAGGCGACGAUCUCUAGCUGGUUUGAGAGGAUGAUCAGCCACACU
rnacentral:rRNA from 1 species